CAACGUAAAUGUGCGUAAGCACGACUGGGUCAGUCCGAGUGAUUCCUGAUAAAGGAGUCUUUUGCUUGUCCUAAAAGCACAGGUGAAUAAGGGGUGGGCAAGUCUGGUGUCAGCCGCCGCGGUAAUACCAGCACCUCGAGUGGUCAGGACGUUUAUUGGGCCUAAAGCAUCCGUAGCCGGCUUUGCAAGUCUUCGGUUAAAUCCACCUGCUCAACAGAUGGGCCGCUGGAGAUACUACAGAGCUAGGGAGUGGGAGAGGCAGACGGUAUUCAGUGGGUAGGGGUAAAAUCCUCUGAUCCAUUGAGGACCACCAGUGGCGAAGGCGGUCUGCCAGAACACGUUCGACGGUGAGGGAUGAAAGCUGGGGGAGCAAACCGGAUUAGAUACCCGGGUAGUCCCAGCUGUAAACGAUGCAAACUCGGUGAUGCAUUGGCUUAUGGCCAAUGCAGUGCCGCAGGGAAGCCGUUAAGUUUGCCGCCUGGGAAGUACAGACGCAAGUCUGAAACUUA
rnacentral:rRNA from 1 species